rnacentral:pre_miRNA from 1 species
AUGAUUGGCGAAUAAUCGAAGCCCAAAACAACUAUUGGUCACUGCACAGGAAUAGUGAAACCUGCAUACUCUUGUGCGUGUUCCAAUAGUUAUUGUGGGUGCUUCAAAAUCGACAUGUCA